ACUGCUUGCUUGACUUGUUUUUCUUCUCCACGAUGUUAGGAGAAAAUUCUCUCUGACCAGAAGGCUAACUCUUCAGCCAAAGUGGUGGUUCAUCUGCCCUAUUUGGCUUUACAGGAGAAAGAAUCCCAAGAGGUCAGUUGAUCCAGGAUGCAGUCCUAGGCUGGGAAGACAUUUCUGCCGUUUUACAGAGCUGUUGUAGAUCAGCUUGUUGAGUGGUCCUGAUGCUCAUCUAUAGGAAUCGGAGACUAAGGUCCAGGCUGGAUGAUGGUCAGGGUUUGACUGGAGAGGCUGAUUUGGAACAUCCAGAGCAGUUCUGACCUCUGUAGUUGGCCUUUAUUGAAUUCGCGACUUCCACAGCAUCCUAAAACUUCAAGAGAUCUUUUAAAGCCAUCAGAACUAUUGCUGCCUAAGACAUGCAUGGCAAAUAAAAGUAUCUCACUGGAUUUCAAAUAAGGGGAAUAAUCAAUGUUAAGUGCUGCCUUGUUGGAUUUCUUCCUGAUUUUUUUGAAGCUCCACUUCUUCUGUUUCAGAGCUAUGUUUCCCCAGUGGGCUACCACAUCUCUGGGUUUCCAGUACUUGGAACUUUGCUUCCCAGUUGCAGAGCUAAGAAGCCAGUUCACAUUCCAUCGUUGUCCUAAAGUCUUUUUCCUAUUUUGAAUACCCCAUCUUGUCUGGAUUUAUCAAGGGGUAAGAAAUAUGUAUUACUUUGACCUGAAAAAUUCCUUGCUGAGUCCCACUCCAUUAGAAAACAAUAAUAUUUAAAAGAAAUCAGCCAAUCACAAUUCCUAGGCCUGAACAGUUCACAGGAUUUCAGAGGGAGUCUUUGUGUGAUUGUUUCUCUUCACAUAGUGACUGAAACAAUUCAGGCUUAAAACACUCCGAUCAUUAGUUGGUAUUACAGAUGGUAGGAUGAGCAAUUAUGCUGAAUUGAAUUUUUCCCAUCUUAGCUAUUUUAGGUUAAAGAGUCAGUGUAGAGCAUGAGCUCUUAGGUGAGGUUUUCCAGCGUUCCAAGAUUUUCCAACCCAGAUGAAGUUACUGUCUAAGCUCCUGGCAAAUGUUGAAGUUUUCCCUGUAAUCCUGAUAGGUUUCACCACAAUUCUGAUACAUAUUACUCGGUUUAAUUAUGUGCCAUAGUCAUAGAAUUUUGGAAGUAGAAAGAAGCUUAAGGGUAUCUAGUUAAAUGCCAUUCUCCAUAUUCUACAGAUAAAAACAUGGAGUUCGAAUGGGAUCUCAGAGAAAUCUCAGAGAAAAAUGAACUGGGGUAUUUUUUAGUUUAACUUUCUUCCCAAGGAACUAAUCCUUAUCUCGGUAUUUUCUAAAUUAGACCAGCCACAUUUUUCUUGCCUUGACAUUCUCAUUUCCCUUUGGACAGAGUAGGUUAGUCAAAAUUUAGUGAAAUGAUAGAUAAUGAUGUUGGUAUUUAAUUCAGAUUCUUUUUUUUUGAGACAGAGUCUUGCUCUGUCUCCCAGGCCGGAGUGCAGUG